GGUCUGCCUUUGCGGUGCCGCCUUUGGGUGGUCUACUGUGUAGGGCAGGCCUUUCUCCUGGCAGCAGGCGUGCUCUUCGCGGGGCGCGUCGGUUGGCAGGAAGGUUACUUUGAACAAAUUAGAGUGUUCAUGGCAGGCUUGCGCUUGAAUACAUUAGCAUGGAAUAACGGAAUAGGACUCUGGUUCUAUUGUGUUGGUUUCGGACCGGAGUAAUGAUUAAUAGGGAUAGUUG
rnacentral:rRNA from 1 species